AUUGAACGCUGGCGGCAGGCCUAACACAUGCAAGUCGAGCGGAUGAAGGGAGCUUGCUCCUGGAUUCAGCGGCGGACGGGUGAGUAAUGCCUAGGAAUCUGCCUGGUAGUGGGGGAUAACGUCCGGAAACGGGCGCUAAUACCGCAUACGUCCUGAGGGAGAAAGUGGGGGAUCUUCGGACCUCACGCUAUCAGAUGAGCCUAGGUCGGAUUAGCUAGUUGGUGGGGUAAAGGCCUACCAAGGCGACGAUCCGUAACUGGUCUGAGAGGAUGAUCAGUCACACUGGAACUGAGACACGGUCCAGACUCCUACGGGAGGCCGCAGUGGAGAAUAUUAGACAAUGGGCGAAAGCCUGAUCCAGCCAUGCCGCGUGUGUGAAGAAGGUCUUCGGAUUGUAGAGCACUUUAGGUUGGGAGGAAGGGCAGUAAGUUAAUACCUUGCUGUUUUGACGUUACCAACAGAAUAAGCACCGGCUAACUUCGUG
rnacentral:rRNA from 1 species